UACGUAGGGGGCGAGCGUUGUCCGAAGUUACUGGGCGUAAAGCGUGUGUAGACGGGUCCGUAAGUACCUUGUGAAAUCCCACGGCUCAACCGUGGAACUGCUUGGUAUACUGCGGGUCUUGAGCCACUUAGGGGCAAGCGGAACAGACGGUGGAGCGGUGAAAUGCGUAGAUAUCGUCUGGAACGCCGAAGGUGAAAACAGCUCGCUGGGAUUGUGCUGACGCUGAGACACGAAAGCCAGGGGAGCGAACGGG
rnacentral:rRNA from 1 species